AAAACCCACAGGUGUAGGAGCAUGCAGGAAAAUUAAAAAGAAAAAGUAUAUAGGUAAAAGUAAAAAAAUCAUAAAGUUGAAAGUUAGGUUUGUCCUUUGGGUCAGGAUUGAUUGAUAUAUAAAUAGCGCUGCGGUGAAGUUGUAGAACUAAGAAGAAACAAUAAAGAAGGAGAAGGGGGAGAGGGAGAUAGAGAGCUACUGGAAGUUGUAGGAAUGGGCGGUUUGGGAAAAAAUCAUAUACAUAAAUACGAUAACAGAUUACGUCGAAAAUCAAAUUAAGUGUAUACAAGUUUUCUUCCCAAUGUCGCCCAUUCCGAUGAUUUCCAGAAGCUCCUCCCUUUCCCUUCUGUUCUCUGCGAUACUCUUUCCCUACUCUAUAUCCAUCACUUUUCAAUUCUUAAUUUUCUUAUGUUUUCUUUGAUCGAUUGAGAUCAUUAAUCAGUUUCUUUACCAUGUUGCAGGCUGAAAGACAAGCUUAUCUAAGAAAUUCCACACUCCAUCAGAUCAUUGAUCUUGCAGAUCAGGGAACUGGGAAUGCGAAGGUCUCAGGAUUUACGGCAUGGCUACCUCUAUUUUCCAUUUAUUUAUUAUUAUUAUUAUGCACAAUUGCAGUAAUUUCCUCUUUGUACUUUCUAUAUGUGAUAAAUAAAUUUUAUUGAUGAA